CGUAGGGGUGGGUGCCGCGCGUGUUUCAGCUAGGAGGAAGCGCGUGAGUUUAGAAGCCACGCGGGGUUGUGGGGUGUCCCGGGAGCUCAAGGCGUGCGCUUUCUCUUCGGCCGUUCGCCGCUGAAAGUCUUGUGUCCUUUCCGCCCUUUCGGGGUGGGGGAAAGCAGAGCUUCUCCACGAGCUGGGGCCCGUGAAGGAGAAGGGAGCCAGCGGGGGACUCUGGAGUGCCUGAGGGCAGGGCUGCGGCCCGGAAGAGGGGAGGAAAAGAGAGGGUUCUCGUAGGCAGGGUACGCACGCGCUGGGAUCAGGGCUGGUCCCGAGAAGGGCCUGGGGCGGCCGCGCUAUGUUCGGGGCCCGGUGCCUGCUCCGAGCCCUGCGCUCCUGUUCCUCGGCUCCCUGCCCAAGGCACAAACCUUCAGCCAAACUGAGCGUGCGGGACGCUCUCGGGGCCCAGAACGCAAGUGGGGAGCGCGUUAAGGUCCAGGGAUGGAUUCGUUCAGUCCGAUCCCAGAAGGAAGUCUUGUUCCUGCAUGUAAAUGAUGGGUCAUCUUUGGAAAGCCUUCAGGUUGUAGCAGAUUCAAGCUUUGACAGUAGAGAACUGGCCUUUGGGAGUUCCGUGGAAGUUCAAGGGCAGCUGGUAAAAAGUUUGUCCAAAAGGCAAAAUGUGGAACUGAAGGCAGAAAAAAUUGAAGUUGUUGGAAAUUGUGAUGCCAAGGCUUUCCCUUUUAAAUAUAAAGAGAGGCAUCCUCUGGAGUAUCUGAGACAAUACCCUCACCUUAGGUGUAGGACUAAUGUUCUGGGUUCUAUACUGAGGGUUCGCAGUGAAGCCACAGCUGCUAUCCAUUCUUUCUUUAAGGACAGUGGCUUUGUGCAUAUUCAUACUCCAGUAAUCACAUCCAAUGACUGUGAGGGGGCUGGAGAACUUUUUCAAGUUACGCCUUCAAGCAAAAUAAAGGUACCUGAGGAGAAUUUCUUCAAUGUUCCUGUUUUCUUAACUGUCUCAGGACAACUUCAUCUAGAAGUGAUGUCAGGAGCUUUUACUCAAGUGUUUACCUUUGGUCCAACAUUCCGAGCAGAGAAUUCUCAGAGCCGGAGACACCUGGCAGAGUUUUAUAUGGUAGAAGCAGAGAUUUCUUUUCUUGAGAGCCUUCAAGAUCUCAUGCAGGUUAUGGAGGGCCUCUUCAAGACUACAACAAUGACAGUUCUCUCAAAUUGUCCUGAAGAUGUUGAACUCUGUCAUAAAUUCAUAGCUCCUGGCCAAAAGGACAGAUUAGAACAUAUGCUAAAAAACAACUUUCUAAUCAUUUCUUAUACUGAGGCAGUGGAGAUCUUAAAGCAGGCAUCCCAGAACUUCACCUUCACUCCAGAGUGGGGUGCUGAUCUACACACUGAACAUGAAAAGUACCUGGUGAAGCACUGUGGCGACAUACCAGUCUUUGUCAUUAAUUAUCCAUUAGCACUCAAGCCCUUCUACAUGAGGGAUAAUGAAGACAGCCCUCAGCACACAGUUGCUGCUGUUGAUCUUCUGGUUCCUGGAGUUGGAGAACUCUUUGGGGGAAGCCUCAGAGAAGAACGGUACCAUUUCUUAGAGCAGCGAUUGGCCAGGUCAGGACUGACAGAAGCCUACCAAUGGUAUCUGGACCUCCGUCAAUUUGGAUCUGUGCCACAUGGAGGUUUUGGGAUGGGAUUUGAACGCUAUCUGCAGUGCAUCUUGGGAAUUGACAAUAUCAAAGAUGUUAUCCCUUUUCCAAGAUUUACUCAUUCGUGUCUUUUGUAGCUGAAGACUGCUUAAGGAAAACCACCCUGUGCCAGAGGUACUGCACAUGAAUAUACAUACAGGAGAAUGCAUGUUUGAACUGUUGAAAUGCAGAAGUUUUCAAUAUGUAAUUGUCAUGCCAGAAGAUACAUGAAAGAUACAUGUGAUCAUGAUUUUCAUUGCACGUUGAAGGCAUUUCAUGGAAAGAUGAACUCCAUCAAGAAGAGUUCCCAUUCUCAUUUCAAAUUUUGAAGAAGGUGGAGAAAAAUAGUUACUUUCCAUCUGGCUGUCCGCUUGCCUGCGUAAGUUGUGCUGUCGUGGGUUUGUGGGGUUUUUUUGACAGGGGGGUUGGGGGGGGAUUAGGAGGGUCUGACAAGAACUUAAUUGUGGGAGUGAUCCAUUCCAGAUCUAGACAUAGCUCUCCUACCCUCUGACCCAGCCCAGAGACUCUUAACUCUCACAGAACGGCAAAGGAAUGGUUUGACCUUUUGUCCCUCCCAAACAGAAUCUGCUAGAAGCACCCCUCUACAGUGUUAUACAUUCAUAUUCUCUAUAAAUUGAAUCUAGACAUUUCACGCAGGACUGAACAGGCAUUGAAGAUGCAACUGGUGAGAUGGAUUAACUCUACCCUUCUUUAAACCUCUUCAGGUUUUUGCAUCAGGAAACUGUCGGGUCAGAUUCCUGCCAGAAAAUGUGCUGGAUGUUUCGUGUCUUGGAAGGGGUAUUAGACGUAGAGGGAGAAGACUCUGGUUUAUGUCUGACGCUCUACUUACCAGCUGUGGAACCUUGAGCAAGUUAUUUUAUCUCUGAGUUUGUAUACUUAUCUGCAAAAUGAGGAUAAUAUUUAACUUACAGAGUGUUGUGAGAAACGGCGAAGACUGUGUGAAAGGGUUUCAUAAGUUGACAACACUACACAAAUGUAAGGUCUCCUAAGGGAAUCCUUUUCAAAACUCAAAAAAAAAAAUCUGUAUGAAGUAAGAUAUUUAUUACAUGUUGAAUGAAAUAUUUUAUAGCCAUAAAAAUUAUAAGAGAAAAUGUGUUGAAAAUUUUUUAAGUUGUACUUUGCAGUUACAACAGUGUAAAAGCUGUGCACAUGGACUAGAAGCAUAUGGGAAAAAAUGGAAUCAGCUGUUUCAGGACAGUGGAAUUGAGCGACUUUUCUUUAAAAAUCUCUUUGGCCUAUUCAAUUCAGUUCAGUAGACGCACUGUGCCAGGUUAAGUGCUCGAUUCUGUGAACACAGAGAAAAAUAGGAUAUGCUCCCACGUCUCAGGGACUCCCAUUUUGUAUAAUCUUUGUUAAAGUUUAUUAUGCAUAAGAAUCACCUGGGGAGCUUAUUAAAAGUUCAGAUUAUCCUGAUACCACCCUAGAAAGUCUGUUCCACCCUAAAAGGUCUAGGAGGUAACAGCACACAGUUAGCAUUCUUCAAACAGUCACCCUGAGUGAUUCUAAUAUAGGUGGUUUAACUUCACACUGUGAGAAACCUUCAGUGAGGUUUUAAUGUUUUUACUGUAAAAAGUAAUAAUUAGAUCUGCUCAUUGAAGAAUUUGAUUGUUCUGUCUGGACCUUUCUAUUUAAUAUAUAUAUUUUUUAAAAUUUUAUUUUUUUGGCCGCAUUGGGUCUUCUUUGCAGCGCAAUGGCUUUCUCUAAUUGCAGUGAGGAGGGGCUACUCUUCGUUGCGGUGUGUGGGCUUCUCAUUGCGGUGGCUUCUCUUGUUGUGGAGCCCGGGCUCUAGGCGCGCGGGCUUCAGUAGUUGUGGCACGUGGGCCCUAGAGCGCGCGGGCUUCAGUAGUUGCGGCACAUGGGCUCUCAGGUGCAUGGGCUUCAGUAGUUGUGGCACACAGGCUUAGUAGCUGUGGCGCAUGGGCUUAGUUGCUCUGCGGCAUGUGGGCUCUUCCCGGACCAGGAACCCAUGUCCCCUGCAUUGGCAGGCGGAUUCUUAACCACUGUGCCACCAGGGAAGUCCCCUGUGUGGACCUUUGAGCUGGCUUCUGUGCCUCUAUAUCAAGGAUGGGAAAGCCAGCCUGCAGAGUGGUGUUGCUCUGGAACUCAUGUGGCAUAGAUCCUGCCACAUCUCUCGACCUUUAUCUCUGCCUCACUUCCUUUCUCUUCCACUACCUCUCCCAUGUUUUUUCUCUGUGCAUGUUUUUCUCUCCCACUCUGAUUCCUCCUAUGCCUGCAAUACAGCAACAUCCAGGUGCUUCCCCUUCCUUUCUCCACCCCUUCCCCCAACCAGAUAUGUCAACUUUAUUGAAAAGAAACCCAACCUACUUCUAGUUUACUAACUUGUGCAGGAAGGCUCUUGUAUCUAGUUAAUGUUUCUCAGAAAACUUAGGAGUGGGCUAUUCGUGGAUCAACAACCACAAAGAUACCAUAUGUGGACCUUUUGUGUCUUUAUUUUGACUCUUGAUUAACUUUUUUCUAGUGGGUUAGCAGCCUUCAACAGAGUCCUGUCCUGCUCAUCAGGCUGGAGUGUGCCCUGCAUCCUGACAGAGCACUGCUUGUCUCCACAUGCCUAUGAACGGACUUGGGUGGCUUUCUCAGGCUACACACCUGUCACCUCUUAGUCACCUAGAAUCAAAAUAUUAACAGCUCUGAUCACACUGUCUGAGGCCAUGAGGCUUUAUUUCAAGAAUGGUGACACUCCAAAAUGCAGCUAGGAUUUCUACCUUUUCAUGUGUUUAUAUUACUAGUGUUAGUGUUUAUAUGACUUGCACCUCUAGAUACCAAGGGUUGGUCAAUGGCUUCCAGACUCCCUCCCUCCAUUAUGCUCCCUCAGAACCAUAUGAAAAUACUGGUUCUCUUAUGUUGUCAUUUGUCUUCUCUGCCAGAACGUGAGCUCCAUGAGAACAGGAGAGUGUAUUUAUCUUUGUAUGUCCAGUGCCUUGGAGAGUAUCUGGAACAUAGAGGGUACUCAUUAAAUAACUCUUGAAUGAAUUAGGUAUCAAAAAUUAGGUGUCAAAAAAAAGUAAAUGUACCCACCAGACAAAAGGGAGAUAUUCCUUAAAAAAUAAUUCCCAAACGGACUUUCCCCCCUCUAUGUCUCUAAAAUAUAUCAUAAAUUGAAUUUUUAAAUUAGCCUUUUCAGCCUAAACCCAAGUCUGAAGCCACUGCCUGAACAUAGAACAGAAAGUCAGGGAUCAGAAGAAACUAUGAGUUCAACUAGUAAUUUGUCAUUGUAAUCUGUUACUGAAGGUGAGUUUCUAGGGCAACUCUCCAGCACUGCUGGAGUACAGUGACUUAGUAGGCUUGUCAAGAACCUCUCCAUGCUGUUCAUCAUUACAUAACCAGCACCUAGCCAAGUGCCUUGCACAUAGUAGGUACUGAGUAAAUAUUUGUUGAAUGAAUUAUUUGAUUGGUGGAGGAAAUUCAGAAGCAAGUCCUAAGACGAAUUUAGUUGGAGUCGCUCAUAUUUUUAGUUAGUGUUUUUUU